rnacentral:rRNA from 1 species
GACGAACGCUGGCGGCGUGCUUAACACAUGCAAGUCGAACGGAAAGGCCCUGCUUUUGUGGGGUGCUCGAGUGGCGAACGGGUGAGUAACACGUGAGUAACCUGCCCUUGACUUUGGGAUAACUUCAGGAAACUGGGGCUAAUACCGGAUAGGAGCUCCUGCUGCAUGGUGGGGGUUGGAAAGUUUCGGCGGUUGGGGAUGGACUCGCGGCUUAUCAGCUUGUUGGUGGGGUAGUGGCUUACCAAGGCUUUGACGGGUAGCCGGCCUGAGAGGGUGACCGGCCACAUGGGGACUGAGAUACGGACCAGACUGCUACGGGAGGCAGCAGGGGGGAAUAUUGCACAAUGGGCGGAAGCCGGAUGCAGCAGCGCCGCGUGCGGGAUGACGGCCUUCGGGUUGUAAACCGCUGUCGCCUGUGACGAAGCGGGAGUGACGGUAAUGGAUAAAGAAGCACCGGCUAACUACGUG